CGUAGGUGGCGAGCGUUGUCCGGAUUUACUGGGCGUAAAGAGCGCGCAGGCGGUCGUGCAAGUCGCGUGUGAAAGCCCCCGGCUCAACUGGGGAGGGUCACGCGAUACUGCUCGACUCGAAGGCAGGAGAGGGAAGUGGAAUUCCCGGUGUAGUGGUGAAAUGCGUAGAUAUCGGGAGGAACACCAGUGGCGAAGGCGACUUCCUGGCCUGUUCUUGACGCUGAGGCGCGAAAGCUAGGGUAGCAAACGGGAUUAGAUACCCCGGUAGUCCUAGCCGUAAACGAUGGACACUAGGUGUUGGUGGUAUCAACCCCGCCAGUGCCGAAGCUAACGCAUUAAGUGUCCCGCCUGGGGAGUACGGCCGCAAGGCUA
rnacentral:rRNA from 1 species